UCCUGGUUAGUUCAGUUGGUAGAGCACUUCACUGGAAAUGGAGAGAUCCCUGGUUCGAUCCAGGACCAGGCG
rnacentral:tRNA from 1 species